rnacentral:rRNA from 1 species
UACGAAGGGGGCUAGCGUUGCUCGGAAUCACUGGGCGUAAAGGGUGCGUAGGCGGGUUUUUAAGUCAGAGGUGAAAUCCUGGAGCUCAACUCCAGAACUGCCUUUGAUACUGAAAGUCUUGAGUAUGGGAGAGGUGAGUGGAACUGCGAGUGUAGAGGUGAAAUUCGUAGAUAUUCGCAAGAACACCAGCGGCGAAGGCGGCUCACUGGCCCAUAACUGACGCUGAGGCACGAAAGCGUGGGGAGCAAACAGG